GGUCAUUGUUAGCUGGGAAUAGAGAACUACAAUAGUUCUUACCAGUUUAGAUUAACUGGUAAGAAAGACCACCAGCCUCACAGGAUUGCUUUUGUGUCUGGAGAAAAGAGUGUAUGUAUUCAUUUGCCAAACAGAGAUGGAGAAGUAAAUUCCUGCUGAAAUUUCUCAAGCACCACCUGUUCCCCUCGUAACUCCAGUUCCAAAUAACUACAGUUUGCCAACAGAAAUCAGAAAGAAGAAACAGAAAAGCCACAAUCUUUCAUAUCAAAUGCUGAUUCUCCUGAUGAGAUUUGUGAUGUCUCUUCCUGGACCCUGAAGUAAAAAUUGUGAAGACCAAGAAUUCUUCAGUUGAGAAAUGUGGUAAUGAACUUUUACGUGAACUCUCCCACCUAAAUUCUAAAUUUUCACUGAAUAGCCCUGCUUAGUCCAUGUAUUUGUGUAGAGAAAGAAUAUGAUACCAUGCAACAAACAGAGGAUAAGUGGAAUUACAUCAUACAGCUAUUGCAACCUUGAUGUUGCUCCAUCACUCUUUCACUGUCCUCAGUCUGUCAGAGGCUACAUCCAAUCAGUUUGUAUAGUAUUUUGUCUGGUGUAAGCUGUUCAUUGAAAGACCACUUCCAAUCUACUCCUACUUGCAAGAAUUCCAGUAAUAUUUCUACUCUGGACAGUUAUUUCAUAGGGUCAUCAACCUUUGCCUUUCUAACUUCUCUGGUGGAGGAAGAGGUGGCAUCUGCUUUUGCAGGCCUUAUUUUAGACCUAUCAUUAAAUUUUUUGAUUCACAUCUCAGGGAAACUAAAGUUAGUAUAUAUGAUUUUUUAAAUGUAAUUAAAAAUUGCAAGAAAAUUUGGGGAUCUAUUUUAAUAUAAUUAUAUGCAGGUUAUUUCACUGAAUAUAAGUCACAAAAUGCCACGUGUCUGUGGGUAGCUACGCAUCUGUUAUUCUUCAAUGAUUUACCUGCCAUGAAACAGAUGACAAGUUCAUACAGAGAAGGUGAAAAGUAAAAGCUAUAAAGUCUAAAUGAAAACUUUGUGAGGCAUAAAAAAAUAUCCUUUUUCAAUCAUUGAGCCUGCCUCAUGAAGGUUGACUUUUAUAUGAUGGAUGAACGUGGACUGCUACCCUUUACUUUAGUAUACCCAUGUCAGGCUACCAUAUACAGCGCAGUUUUCUUGAUUAGUCCAUCUUAUGGAGAUAGAUGUCUCCCCUUCCGGUUAGCAGCCUACAUUUUGGUGCCAAACUGCAAGUUUUAAUCCCAGUAUCUGAAGUGAACUGUUUCCUGGUGACUAAAGUGUGAAAUAAAGUGCCAUGAACAUCUCAUCUCCGUAAAUAUUUUUUCUUUAUUGAAUUUUUUCUUGUUUAUUUAUUGACUUUGGAGUUGGGUAAAAAAAUUGAUAUCAAUCAUUUUCAGUGCUGAAAAUUUUCAGAAAAAUCACUUAACUGCAAUCCAGCAUCCAUAAAAGAACAUUUUCCUAUUUCGGUAGAAAGAACUGGAAAUUAUAAACUAAAGCAUUGAUUGAUAAGAAUUUGGAUUAGGAAAAUGGAGAUGGUCCUGUUUAUCUCAAUCCAUUGGGUCUAUCCAUUGCCUACUCUUUUGUCAAAAUGUGGAAAGAAUAUGCUGCAUCCUUUUUACAAGGAUUUCACUCUGUGACUCUGGAAAUGCUCAGUUUACACAAAUCAUUUGGCAAUUUUUAGCAGACAAACUCUGUCAAAUUAAAAGAACUAUGGGGGGAAAGGAAUUAUGAGGACAGAGACACUUUGCUGAACUCAGAGGUGCUGUACAUAUUAUACUGAUUUUUAUUUGUUUUUCUUGUGUAGGGACACCAUUCCUCCCAGCUAGGUCUGGAUUAUGGAAUCUACAUAUAGCCAAAUGAAAGUUUACCUUUAAGUUUACAGAUACUAUGGGGCUACAGACUUUACAGCUGAUAUAUUUCAGUAAAAAAACUCAAGGCUGCUGGCAUGAAGCUGAGUUCCUAUGGGUUUAUUUCAACCCUACUGCUAUGUCAAAACUUUUACUUACUUUCAAAAAUACAGUUGCAACUUUUUUUCUCCUCAAAAAUUAUCUUCUGAAUCUGUGCAUCAUUUAUAAAAUGAAGAAUGCAGAUACAGUAAAAAGGAAAAACCAACCCUAUUUCUAUUGAUAAUCUAUUUUUUGCUCUAAUCUCUCUGAAAGCUUUGUUGGACUGUUGAAGUGGACUAGGAAACUUGGAAAUUUCACUUGCAUAAUGAGUCCAGCACAACAGGUUGCUGAGAGUCACUGGGAAAAUAUUUCUCAUUUUUGGAAAUGGCUAAUUUAACCUCAAAUACUCUUAAGGAGGAAUCUCUUAGAAAUAUCACUAGUUACUGAACCGUAUUUCUAUUUAAUAACAUCCCUUCAAAACUUCAAAGAGGAGGUCAAAUACACAGAAACUAAAGGUCACUGCAGUUUUUGUGAUAUUGGUGAACAAGAGGUACACUUAAGGAAAGAAAGGAAAAGUAAGAAAGACUGGAUCUGAGCAGGAAAUAUCUGUUUCUAUCAUAGGGGCGUUUUUGGAAUUUCAGAUCUUGUUCCCUAUCAUGGGUUGGACCAAAAAGUCAAUAGCUCAAUUUUUAUUUUGAAUUCUAAAAUCAGAUAAAUUGAUGAGGGUCAAACACAAUGUAUAUAGUAUAUUCAUAUUUGUGUAUAAAUGUGUGUCUGCACGUAAAUAUGUACUACAUUUUUUUCCUCUAAUUGUAACAAGACCAUAUCACCACUGCAGGCUCCACACACAGAGCCAUGCAGCCAACAAAAGGAAAAAUAGGAAAAAAUGAAGAGGCAGAGUUACUGGUAGAGAAAAUAGGACAUUUAGGGCCAGAAGGGUGGUCUCAGGUUCUGCCCAUAGCCAGUGGAGAUAUGUGUCCUUGUGAGAGCAGCUUGAUGUAAGAACCUGACCAGAUUUUGGAUACAUGACCCCAAAAAAGAUCCCUUCUAAACCACUCUUGUGUCUCAAAGGGACAUUUUUCUUUCGAUAAUACCUUAAACAAGAUUUAUUUAGUGAGAGAAAAUUUUUAAUUCCUCAUCUCUCUUUAAUACUAUGGUAAUAUUAAAAUUAUGCCCUGGCAAAAGCCAGUGAAAUGUAUGUGGCAGAAUUGGUGGAAAAAGUUGGUUUGAUACAAAACUUCAUUAAAAAGAUUUCAAGAUAAAAUAUGUCUUAUUUCAUAUGAUCUUGUUAUUGCUAAUUUAUCUACCGUAAGUUAUUAGAGGCACUUUGAUGAUUAUCAGCUAGGAAGAAUCGAGAUAUGUCAAACAAGGUAAGCAAGCUCUAUGUUCAACACAAAAGAAGUGGCAUAGUUGGGAAAAGCUGAGGAAUGGAGGGAUAUAGUAAAAUAACAGGAACAAGUCAUCAUGAAGAUAUGUUACUGCAUGAAGUCAAAGAUUUCCCAGAGAUCCAAUCCUAAAGGAGUUCCUAAGAUGAAGUACUGAAUUUUUCAGAAUUAUCCAGUAUGCAGUGUUUGUUGUUCUUGGAAGCAUCAAGCAAGAAGCUCACGACUAUCUUACAAAUAAAGAACUAAUAGAGGAAAAUAUUUUCAAGGAGCAAGACUGUUUGAUAAAAUUCAAGUAUUUACUAAAUAGAAAAGGAAAUCAUCAACAGCCACAGUGAAAUUCCAAAAGUUGUGUGAAACAAAAGUCCUGUGAAACAAAAUUGUCUAGCUUCAAGACUAAGGGAAGAAAAGAUCUAUCAUCUUGAUAACUACGUCUAUGCCUUCUGGCAUUUCCAGAAAAUGAUACAGCUUAAAGAGAAACUAGUUUAACACUUAUCCAUCAUUUUCUUAAAAGCCAAAAUUUCCAUGUACCUUUUUUUUCCAUCUUUCCCCUUCCCAUUGUGUUCCUCUUCUGUUUCUUCUUUGUUU